GAUGAACGCUGGCGGCGUGCUUAACACAUGCAAGUCGAACGAGUCAUAUUCGUAUGGCUAGUGGCAGACGGGUGCGUAACACGUGGGUGACCUGCCCUUGAGUGGGGAAUAACGCGACUAACGUCGCGCUAAUACCGCAUAGGCUGGCCGAUUCGGUUCGGUCAGUAAAGCAGUGAUGCGCUUGGGGAUGGGCCUGCGGCGGAUUAGGUAGUUGGUGGGGUAAGGGCCUACCAAGGCGACGAUCAGUAGCCGACCUGAGAGGGUGAUCGGCCACAUUGGAACUGAGACACGGUCCAAACUCCUACGGGAGACAGCAGUGGGGAAUAUUGCACAAUGGGCGAAAGCCUGAUGCAGCAACGCCGCGUGAGCGAAGAAGGCCUUUGGGUCGUAAAGCUCUGUCGGGUAGGAAGAUAAUGACGGUACUACCCGAGGAAGCCCCGGCUAACUACGUG
rnacentral:rRNA from 1 species